rnacentral:lncRNA from 1 species
GAGUAGCCGAUACUUGAGUAGAUUUUAGGAUUGAUCUUUUUUUUAGUGAGUUUGAUUUUUUUCAAAUUUUUUGUACUUUUUUUCAACUUAAUUGUUAAGAGGUGUGCAAAUUUUGAGUUAAAAUCAAUGGUUCAUUCAUUAGUUAUUGUGGUCUAAAUCUAUUGUAGGAAUUUCUUAGAAUUAAUUAGGAUUUGAUAAGGGUUUGAUUAGGAUUUAGAAUUUGGUUUAGGAUUUGAUUUAGGCUAAGAUUUGAUUAGAAUUUGUUUAAGAUUUGAUUAAGUUUUGAUUAAGAUUAAUUUAGGAUUUUAUUACGACUUAAUUAGAUUUUGACUAGGAUUUAAUUAGAAUUUAGUUUGGAAUUUGAUUUGAUUAGGAUUUGAUUAGGAUUAGGAUUUGUUUAGGAUUUAGUUUAAGAUUUGAUUUGAUUAGGAUUUGGUUAGGAUUUAGGAUUUGAUUUAGGAUUUGGUUUAGGAUUUGAUUUAGGUUAGGAUUUAUUUAGGAUUUGGUUUGAUUAGGAUUUGAUUUAGGAUUUGGUUAGGAUUUAAGAUUUGAUUUAUGGUUUGAUUUAGGUUAGGAUUUGAGUAAGGUUUGAUUAAGAUUUGACUAGGAUUUAUCUAGGAUUUGUCUAGGAUUUGAUUAGAGCUUGUUUAAGAUUUGAUUAGAGUUUGAUUAAGAUUUAAUAAAGAUUUGUUUAGGAUAUAUGUAAGAUUUAGUUAGGACUAAUUUAGAGAUUGAUUAGGAUUUGAUUUGGAUUUAUUUGGAGUUUGAUUAGAAUUUGUUUAGGAUUUGAUUAGAGCCGUUUAGGAUUUGAUUAAGAUUUGACUAAGUUUUGACCAAGGUUUAACUAAGUUUUGACUAAGAUUUAAUUAAGGUU